ACUCCUACGGGAGGCAGCAGUAGGGAAUCUUCCACAAUGGGCGCAAGCCUGAUGGAGCAACACCGCGUGAGUGAAGAAGGGUUUCGGCUCGUAAAGCUCUGUUAGUUAAAGAAGAACACGUAUGAGAGUAACUGUUCAUACGUUGACGGUAUUUAACCAGAAAGUCACGGCUAACUACGUGCCAGCAGCCGCGGUAAUACGUAGGUGGCAAGCGUUAUCCGGAUUUAUUGGGCGUAAAGAGAGUGCAGGUCGGUUUUCUAAGUCUGAUGUGAAACGCCUUCGGCUUAACCGGAGAAGUGCAUCGGAAACUGGAUAACUUGAGUGCAGAAGAGGUAGUGGAACUCCAUGUGUAGCGGUGGAAUGCGUAGAUAUAUGGAAGAACACC
rnacentral:rRNA from 1 species